AAAGACUGGCCCCAAAAGAAGAAAAGAAAGAAAAGAAACCAGAAAAUUCGUUAAAACAUUGGGAAAUUAUGCCAGGUCCGCUUCUCAAUCCGGUAACUUCAUCGAUUUCUUCUUCUUCUUCUUCUACUACUACUUCUCCUUCUCUUUCUGCUGCUUCUGCUUCUGCUAUGAUGUUUUCUGAUUAUGAUGCUAAGAAGAAGGGCAAGAUGUUGAGGUUAAAAAU
rnacentral:RNase_P_RNA from 13 species